AUGUCUAAGUAUAAACCGCUUUACGGUGAAACUGCGAAUGGCUCAUUAAAUCAGUUAUAGUUUAUUUGAUAGUCCCUUUUUACUACUCGGAUAACCGUAGUAAAUCUAGAGCUAAUACGUGCGGAAAGGGCCGACUGGGGAGGGGCAACCCUCUUCGGAUAGGUCCGUAUUUAUUAGAUACAAAACCGAUACGGGGCAUCCCAAACCGGCGGGGGGUUCGGGGGGGAACGGGUUCGUCCCUUCCUCCUCGUCCUCGUCGGGUCCCGGCUUUCUUUUCGGUGAUUCAUGAUAACUUCGCGAAUCGCAGCGGCCUCGAGCCGGCGAUGAUUCAUUCGAAUUUCUGCCCUAUCAACUUUCGAUGGUAAGAUAGAGGCUUACCAUGGUGAUAACGGGUAACGGAGAAUUAGGGUUCGAUUCCGGAGAGGGAGCCUGAGAAACGGCUACCACUUCUAAGGAAGGCAGCAGGCGCGCAAAUUACCCAAUCCCGACACGGGGAGGUAGUGACAAUAAAUACCGAUACGGGCCUCUUUUCGAGGCUCGUAAUUGGAAUGAGAACAAUUCAAACCCCUUAACGAGGAACAAUUGGAGGGCAAGUCUGGUGCCAGCAGCCGCGGUAAUUCCAGCUCCAAUAGCGUAUAUUAAAGUUGUUGCAGUUAAAAAGCUCGUAGUUGAACUUUGGAACGGGAGGGAGAGGGGCGGGGAGGGGCGACCCUCCUCGUUUUCCUUCUCCCUUCGUGCGGCGCCGGUCCGCCCCGAAGGGCGAGCACUGGUCCGCGCGUUCCCUCCUACCGGACGCUCGCUCCUGCUCUUCGUUGAGUGGGAGUAUUCUCCCGNNNGGGGUCGAUUCCCCCUUCCCUCCUCGUUUCGGCGAACGAUCGGUUCGCAAGAACCCGGUCCUCGGAUCGCUCGGGGUUUCGACGGGGCCGGAAGGUCUCCCGGGGAUUCGUCCUCGGGUCUCCUUUUUCCACCGGUUCCGUUCGGAGCUCCGGUUCGUUUACCUUGAAUAAAUUAGAGUGUUCAAAGCAGGCAAGCACACGCCCGGAUACUUUAGCAUGGGAUAAUAGAAUAGGACUUGGGUUCUAUUUUCGUUGGUUUCUAGGACCGAAGUAAUGAUUAAUAGGGACGGUCGGGGGCAUUAGUAUUUAAUUGUCAGAGGUGAAAUUCUCGGAUUUAGGAAAGACUGACUUCAGCGAAAGCAUUUGCCAAGGACGUUUUCAUUAAUCAAGAACGAAAGUUAGGGGAUCGAAGACGAUCAGAUACCGUCGUAGUCUUAACCAUAAACGAUGCCGACCAGGGAUCGGGAGACGUUACCUCGAUGACUCUCCCGGCACCUUGCGGGAAACCACAAGUCUUUGGGUUCCGGGGGGAGUAUGGUCGCAAGGCUGAAACUUAAAGGAAUUGACGGAAGGGCACCACCAGGAGUGGAGCCUGCGGCUUAAUUUGACUCAACACGGGGAAACUUACCAGGUCCGGACAUAGGAAGGAUUGACAGACUGAUAGCUCUUUCUUGAUUCUAUGGGUGGUGGUGCAUGGCCGUUCUUAGUUGGUGGAGCGAUUUGUCUGGUUAAUUCCGUUAACGAACGAGACCUCGGCCUGCUAAAUAGCCAUGCGAACCUUUCCGCCCCAAAGAGGAUACGGUCGGGGCGGGUCCACGUCGGGAGGGGGGCCCCCUUCGCGGGGGGUUUCUCUCCCGGCGCCGUCUCGGUCGCCCUCUGGUGAGGUUCGUAGCGGCGCUUCUUAGAGGGACUAUGCAAUCCCAGUGCAUGGAAGUUCGAGGCAAUAACAGGUCUGUGAUGCCCUUUAGAUGUUCUGGGCCGCACGCGCGCUACACUGACAAGCUCAACGAGCGUUCCUUUCCCUCGGCCGGAAGGUCCGGGUAAUCUUCGAAAGCUUGUCGUGCUGGGGAUAGAUCCUUGCAAUUAUGGAUCUUCAACGAGGAAUUCCUAGUAAGCGCGAGUCAUCAGCUCGCGUUGAUUACGUCCCUGCCCUUUGUACACACCGCCCGUCGCUCCUACCGAUUGAACGGUCCGGUGAAGUCUUCGGAGCGAGGCUCACGCUCGGUCGGGGCAACUCGGCCGGGUAGGGUCGCGCAAAGUCGACUAAACCUUAUCGUUUAGAGGAAGGAGA
rnacentral:rRNA from 1 species